GAUGAACGCUAGCGGCAGGCCUAAUACAUGCAAGUCGAACGGUAGAUCGGGUAGCAAUACUUGAUUGAGAGCGACGUAAGGGUGCGUAACACGUAUGCAAUCUGCCCUCAACAGGAGUAUAGCUCGGGGAAACUCGGAUUAACACUCCAUAACAUUACGAUGUGGCAUCACAUUGUGAUUAAAACUCCGGUGGUUGAGGAUGAGCAUGCGUCUGAUUAGUUAGUUGGAGGUGUAACGGACCCCCAAGACGAUGAUCAGUAGGGGAACUGAGAGGUUGAUCCCCCACACUGGCACUGAGAUACGGGCCAGACUCCUACGGGAGGCAGCAGUAGGGAAUAUUGGUCAAUGGGUGAGAGCCUGAACCAGCCAUGCCGCGUGCAGGAAGACGGCCUUCUGGGUUGUAAACUGCUUUUAUCUGGGGAUAAAAAGCCCAUGCGUGGGACAUUGAAGGUACCAGAUGAAUAAGCACCGGCUAACU
rnacentral:rRNA from 1 species